GUAUUGAAUAUGAAGACAAUCCAGGGAACGGUUCUUAAGAUAUUCCAAUUCGUACGGACGGACAGAGCCUAAUGCUAUAUCCCCCGCUUCUCGCUAAAUGCGCGGCGGGGG